CAAUAGCGUAUAUUAAAGUUGUUGCGGUUAAAAAGCUCGUAGUUGGAUUUCUGCUGAGGACGACCGGUCUGCCCACUGGGUGUGUAUCUGGUACGGCCUUGGCAUCUUCUUGGAGAACGUAUCUGCACUUCAUUGUGUGGUGCGGUAACCAGGACCUUUACUUUGAGGAAAUUAGAGUGUUUCAAGCAGGCAUAUGCCUUGAAUACAUUAGCAUGGAAUAAUAAGAUAGGACCUCGGUUCUAUUUUGUUGGUUUCUAGAGCUGAGGUAAUGAUUAAUAGGGAUAGUUGGGGGCAUUCGUAUUUAACUGUCAGAGGUGAAAUUCUUGGAUUUGUUAAAGACGGACUACUGCGAAANCANNNGCCAAGGAUGUUUUCAUNGA
rnacentral:rRNA from 1 species